UCACAGCUGGAACGACCUCGGUGGCCAAAGACAGGAUGAAUGAAAGCACUUUGGUUUUGAAGAGAAGCUUUUUUUCUUCAGCCAUCUCUCCAUCUUUCUCCCUGUUUCACUGCAGCCAGCCCUGCUGAGUCUCUAGCCUCCAAAGCCCAUCAUAUCCAGCUGGCCAGGAGUGAGCUUGUCAAGGUAUCUCUGCACCCUCCUCUGAUGGACUAUCCAGCAUUCCUUCCCUUCACACCUCCCUGGACUUCUCUUGCCUUUGGGCAGGAAGGAGGUGCUGCUGGAGAGAGGGACUUUCUUGAAAGAAAUCUCUUGCUUCACAAGUCAGGGUUGCCUGCAGCAGUUUCUCCAGAAGCAAUCUAUUCAGGUGCAGAGGAAGAAGCUGGUCAGCCAACCCCCACUGGCUCUUGGCUGGAGGCCCCUGAGUGGAUGGAAGCUGGAGGAGGGCUGGUUUGCUGCUGCAAGAGCAGGCUGAGGACCCAGGCAGCCCCAUUUGCCUGUGCCUGAUGACCCAAAAUGCAAUGCCAGGCUUGGGACACAUGCCUGUGGCUGGACACAGAAAGCCUUUGGAUUGCAGUGGAGGACACAAUCCCCAAACCACCAGAGCACCUACUGGCACGUGGGCAC